ACUAAGUUGCCCACUUCUGUGUGGGGACAUGCAAUUUUGCAUGCUGCAACACUUAUUCAUCUCAGACCGACAGGCUAUCAUAAGGUUUCUUCAUUGCAAUUGGUUAUGGGUCAAGAACUGUAACGACCCUUUGGGUCGUUUUAUGUGUUAAAAUCUUAUGUUUCAUAAAAUACUUUUUGAUAUAUUCUAAAUGGAUAUUUUGGACUAUUUGGGAUUAUAAUUAUGAAAUUAGUGGGGUAGUUUUUAAUAGUUAUUUAGUUGGUGGUUAAGAAAAGUAACAUUAGAAGUAAAGUGGAUCACUUUUACUAUUUUUAUAAUUAGUUAGGUAUACAAUUAGGGUAAUAAAAAUUAAAUUAGAUUAAAAGAAGGUUAUUAUAAUUUCUAUCCCAACAAAUUAUGAGCCGCACAAACUCUUAAAGGAUAGAACAUCAAAAUUAUCGCAGAUUAGAAAGGUUCGGAAGCAUUGAGGAAAGAAAGAACAUUGGAGAAGUAGUUGCUUGACUUCAGUUCUUCGGUGGAGCAAGUGUACCGUCGACUUCGACUCGCCCUCAGCUCUAGUCAGUCUCCAACA